GACGAACGCUGGCGGCGUGCUUAACACAUACAAGUCGAACGGCAAGGCCCUGCUUGCUUGGUACUCGAGUGGCGAACGGGCGAGUAACUCAUGGGUGAUCUGCCCUGCACUUCGUGAUAGGCCUUGAAGACUGGGUCUAAUAGCUGAUAGGAGCUAUGUUUAACGGGAGGGUUGGAAAGGUUUUUCGGUGUAGGAUGAGCUCGUGGCCUGUCAGCUAGUUGGCGGGGUAAAGGCCUACCAAGGCGGCGACGGGUAGCCGGGCUGAGGGGAUGAGCAGCCACACUGGAAGUGAGACACGGUCCAGACUCCGACGGGAGGCAGAAGUGGGGAAUAUUGGACGAUGGGCGGAAGCCUGAUCCAGCCAUACCGGGCGGGUGAAGAAGGCCUUCGGGUUGGAAAGCCCUUUUGUGGGGGAAGAAAAGCAGCAGGUGAAUACCCGGCUGUUCUGACGGUACCCAAAGAAUAAGCACCGGCUAACUUCGUG
rnacentral:rRNA from 1 species